GAUCAGUCCCUCCCCUGUAAACAAAGUUGGCUAACGAAGUUAAAACCUUUGAUGGACUUAAUUUUCCUUAGCAAAAUCAGUAAGUCGGUGCAGGUUCAGGCUUACUAAAGAAUGACAGCUGUUGGCUAUCCCCUUGAAAACAAUGGUAGGGAUAUACUAGCUGCAGGUCCACGCAGCCUCAAUGGACAGUUCCGGGACCUAGAAGAUAAAUGUCUAUUAUUUAGAUCUAGAGAUUGUCACUAAACAGAUACCAAGUUACAUCUAGGGCAAUUUUGAUCUUUAAAAUAUUAAAGGAUAGAAAUGGAUAUAGUUUAUAGUAUGCCCAUUUGCUAUGACCAUGAUAUUUUUCUAAGGGUUGCGUUUUGCCUAGGUGCACAUAAUGUGCUUAUCUGGUGUCCUUAGAACGUAGAAGAGGACUUCAUUCUCUGGAGCCAGAGAUUGGGAGAACCAUCUCUUCUGUCCCUUUGCAACUUUAAUGGCUUCAAAUAGAGAUGGAGAGCUUAUAGGUAAUUUUCUUUUAAAUAGGUAUUGUCUUUCACUGUGUAGUUAUGGAAACAUCCUUUAAGCUUCAGAUAGGUUGCCUGCUGUGAAUUAAUUUCAGCUGUCUUAGGCCCUCAUUUAAUGUGUUAGGUUCUGUUUAGUAUUUAAGCUUUGCCUAUCAAGUUUAGAUUCUGAACUUAAAUCGUGGACUUGGACACUUUGAGGGUUAUUUUGUGUUUCCUUAACUGUUUGAUGAUGCCAAGCUUAAAAAUAAUUGGGUUUUGGGCGUAGUGGCUAUGGGUAUGUUACUUUCCCAGCGUACUUAGGUUUGAUUCCCAGCACCCACAUGGGGCAGGGCAGCUCAACUCUCUGUACUUACAGUCCCAUUGGAAUCCAGUGCCCUCUUCUGGCCUUUGAAAGCCACAAGUGCAGCCAAGCAUGUUUACAAAACACCCUCCAGACAUAAAUUUUUAAAAAUUUCUUUGGAGAUUGUGGUACAUGCUUUUUAUCCCAACUGUUAGAAUACAGGGGCAGAUAAGGCCUUUGUCAGUUUGAGGCCAGCCAGGGUUAUAUGGUGACACCCUAUCUUUAAAAAAAAAAA
rnacentral:lncRNA from 1 species